rnacentral:rRNA from 1 species
GGACCCGCACAAGUAGUGGAGCAUGUGGUUUAAUUCGAAGAUACGCGCAGAACCUUACCAACACUUGACAUGUUCGUCGCGACUUUAAGAGAUUAAAGUUUUCGGUUCGGCCGGACGAAACACAGGUGCUGCAUGGCUGUCGUCAGCUCGUGUCGUGAGAUGUUGGGUUAAGUCCCGCAACGAGCGCAACCCUCACUUUUAGUUGCCAUCAUUAAGUUGGGCACUCUGAAAGAACUGCCAGUGAUAAGCUGGAGGAAGGUGGGGAUGACGUCAAGUCCUCAUGGCCCUUACGUGUUGGGCUACACACGUGCUACAAUGGUAUCUACAACAGGAAGCAAAACUGCGAAGUUAAGCAAAUCCUUAAAAGAUACCUCAGUUCGGAUUGCACUCUGCAACUCGAGUGCAUGAAGCUGGAAUUACUAGUAAUCGCAGGU